rnacentral:rRNA from 1 species
CGUCGGUCGGGUUGGACGCUGUGGAGUUGGGCAGUUUGGCUGGGGCGGCUGCCUACUCAGAGGGAGCUAUGGCGCACGAGGCUUCUCUCUGUACGGUAGGAAAUCGUACGUAGAGUGGAAAGGCAAAAGAGAGCUUGAUGGCAAGACAUACAGGUCGAGCAAGGAUGAAAGUCGGACUUAGUGAUCCGGUGGUUCUGCGUGGAAGGGCCAUCGCUCAACGGAUAAAAGCUACCCGGGGGAUAACAGGCUGAUCGCCCCCAAGAGUCCACAUCGACGGGGAGGUUGGGCACCUCGAUGUCGGCUCAUCACGUCCUGGGGCUGUAGUAGGUCCCAAGGGUUGGGCUGUUCGCCCAUUAAAGUGGUACGCGAGCUGGGUUCAGAACGUCGUGAGACAGUUC